GGUAAUACAGAGGGUGCAAGCGUUAAUCGGAAUUACUGGGCGUAAAGCGCGCGUAGGUGGUUUGUUAAGUUGGAUGUGAAAGCCCCGGGCUCAACCUGGGAACUGCAUCCAAAACUGGCAAGCUAGAGUACGGUAGAGGGUGGUGGAAUUUCCUGUGUAGCGGUGAAAUGCGUAGAUAUAGGAAGGAACACCAGUGGCGAAGGCGACCACCUGGACUGAUACUGACACUGAGGUGCGAAAGCGUGGGGAGCAAACAGGAUUAGAUACC
rnacentral:rRNA from 1 species